rnacentral:rRNA from 1 species
UGAGGCUAAAAGCGGAUACCUGAUUGUUUCUGGAAUGAGCGAUCAAGGAAAAUUUGCGCGAGGAUGGGGCUGCGGCUGAUUAGGUUGUUGGCGGGGUAAAAGCCCACCAAGCCGAUGAUCAGUAAGGGCCUUUAGCGAGGAAACCCUGAGAGGGAGUCUGAGACACUACUCCCAGCCCUACGGGGUGCAGCAGUCGGGAAAUUUUUGCAAUGCGCGAAAGCGUGACAGAGCAAGCCAGAGUGCUAUUCAUUUUAUGACUAGCUUUUGUGCGAUGUAAACAGUCGCACGAAUAAGGACUGGGAGAGACUGGUGCCAGCCGCCGCGGUAAUCCCAGCAGUCCAAGUCGCAGCCACAUUUGUUGGGUCUAAAACAUCCGUAGCUUGCCUUUCAAGUCUCCUGUGAAAUCGGGCCUCUUAAGGGUCCGGCGGGCAGGAGAUACUGUUUGGCUCGAGACCGGGAGACGCAUGGAGUACAGUCAGAGUAGCGGUAAAAUGUGUUGAUCCUGACUGGACUAACAAUAGCGAAGGCACCAUGCGAGAACGGAUCUGACAGUGAGGGAUGAAGGCUAGGGGCGCAAAGUGGAUUAGAUACCCAUGUAGUCCUAGCAGUAAACACUGCAC